rfam:Stegodyphus mimosarum contig96790, whole genome shotgun sequence.
GCCUUCGUGGUGUAGUGGUCAGCACGCUCGACGCGUAACCGAGAGGUAGGUGGUUCGAUUCUCGGCGAAGGCG